rnacentral:rRNA from 1 species
AGUGAACGCUGGCGGUAGGCCUAACACAUGCAGUCGAACGGCAGCACAGUAAGAGCUUGCUCUUACGGGUGGCGAGUGGCGGACGGGGGAGGAAUACAUCGGAAUCUACUUUUUCGUGGGGGAUAACGUAGGGAAACUUACGCUAAUACCGCAUACGACCUACGGGUGAAAGCAGGGGAUCUUCGGACCUUGCGCGAUUGAAUGAGCCGAUGUCGGUUUAGCUAGUUGGCGGGGUAAAGGCCCACCAAGGCGACGAUCCGUAGCUGGCCUGAGAGGAUGAUCGGCCACACGGGAACUGAGAAACGGUCCAAACUCCUACGGGAGGAAGCAGUGGGAAAUAUUGGACAAUGGGCGAAAGCCUGAUCAGCCAUACCGCGUGGGUGAAGAAGGCCUUCGGGUUGUAAAGCCCUUUUGUUGGGAAAGAAAAGCAGCAGGUUAAUACCCCGCUGUUCUGACGGUACCCAAAGAAUAAGCACCGGCUAACUUCGUG